rnacentral:lncRNA from 1 species
UUACAUGUUCUUGUAUUCAGUAAUCUCAGACGAUUUACACGGAAAUCAGAAGAUGUCUUCAAAUACCCUUAGACUGGAUAGAGUGAUGGGGAAGCAGAUGAUGCAUUGAAAUUUUGGUUUUUAAAAAAUCACUUAGAUGCUGGGAGUAAUGGUGACACACACCCUUGGUCCCGUGACCUGGGAGGCCCUGUCUCAAAACAAAACAAAAAAUCAUUUAGAUGCAUUUUGUGUUCCUUAAAUAAAUUUUUUAAAAAGUGGUUUUUCAUUGUUCAUGGCUUUUUGUUUUUGUUGUUUGUUUGAUUUUUGAAGUUUACUUUUAUCUUUGUCUGCUAGAGUUUUGUGUCCAGCUGCCCUUGGGGACCAGAAAGGGACUUUGAAUCUCCUUGAAAUGAAGAUACAGUUGUUAGCCAGAUGUGGGUGUUGAGAACUGAACCCAAGUCCUCUGAAAAGCAGGAAGUGCUCUUAACUGCUGGGCUGCCCCUCUCCCACCCCUCCAUUGUUUGGGUUUGACUUAAACACUUGAUUUUUUUUAUGAUUUUUUUAAACAGAUUUAUUUAUUGUAUGUAUGUGAAUACGCUGUUGUUGUCUUCAGGCACAGCAGAAGAAGGCAUUGGAUCCCAUUACAGAUGGUUGUGAGCCACCAUGUGGGUGCUGGGAAUUGAACUCAGGCCCUCUGGAAGAUCAGUCAGUGCUCUUAUCCACUGAGCCAUCUCUCCAGCCCCUUUUUAUGAUUUUAUUUUAUGUGUAUGCACACUUUUUUGUGAUGCUUUAUUGAGUUCCUAUGGAACCCUUCUAACCCCCUACCUCAGGUAGGGGAGAAAGAAGGUUAGAGGGGGGAAGGGGGCAUAGAUCUUUUCAGACUGCUUCUUGCUGAUUAGGGGCAUCGAGUUCCUUGGGUCAACUUCAAACUUCAUUGUCAGAAUAUCCAAUCUACUCGUCUCUUUGCUCACAGCCUUGUGACAAGCCACAGCAGCAACAGACACAGUAGCCUCCUCUGCAGAGCGCACUCCCACCUGAUAGCCCCUCUCAGAGCUCGGCAUUUAUACCCUAUGAGAAGUUCCCAGAAUCCCAGAGUUCACAGAAACUGUCUGCAGCUGGCAAAACCACGCCUCUGCCAGAGCACGAGGCAAAUGAUAGUCAGCUGCUGUGAAGCAGUCACCUAUCUCACAACAUAGUCACAUGACAUACCUGGGUUUUUUAGGAAACCGAAAUUCUCACAUGUUUACCUGCAUGCAUAUACAUACAUCAUGUGCAUGUAGUGCCCAGGGAAGGUAGAAGAAGGCAUCAGAGUCCAUGGAACUGGAGUUACAAGAUGGUUGUAAGCUGCCGUAUGGUUCUUGGAACUGAACCCACAUCCUAUGCAAGAGCAGCCAGUGUUUUUAACCACUGAGCCAUCUCUCCAGCCCCUGAUUAAAUAGU